GACGUAGGGCGCGAGCGUUGUCCGGAUUUAUUGGGCGUAAAGAGCUCGUAGGCGGCUUGUCGCGUCGACUGUGAAAACCCGCGGCUCAACCGCGGGCCUGCAGCCGAUACGGGCAGGCUAGAGUUCGGGUAGGGGAGAACUGGAAUUCCUGGUGUAGCGGUGAAAUGCGCAGAUAUCAAGGAGGAACACCGAUGGCGAAGGCAGGACUCGUGG
rnacentral:rRNA from 1 species